GACGAACGCUGGCGGCGUGCUUAACACAUGCAAGUCGAACGGAAAGGCCCUGCUUUUGUGGGGUGCUCGAGUGGCGAACGGGUGAGUAACACGUGAGUAACCUGCCCUUGACUUUGGGAUAACUUCAGGAAACUGGGGCUAAUACCGGAUAGGAGCUCCUGCUGCAUGGUGGGGGUUGGAAAGUUUCGGCGGUUGGGGAUGGACUCGCGGCUUAUCAGCUUGUUGGUGGGGUAGUGGCUUACCAAGGCUUUGACGGGUAGCCGGCCUGAGAGGGUGACCGGCCACAUUGGGACUGAGAUACGGCCCAGACUCCUACGGGAGGCAGCAGUGGGGAAUAUUGCACAAUGGGCGGAAGCCUGAUGCAGCAAGCCGCGUGCGGGAUGACGGCCUUCGGGUUGUAAACCGCUUUCGCCUGUGACGAAGCGUGAGUGACGGUAAUGGGUAAAGAAGCACCGGCUAACUACGUG
rnacentral:rRNA from 1 species